rnacentral:rRNA from 1 species
CCUACGGGGGGCAGCAGUGAGGAAUAUUGGUCAAUGGGCGGGAGCCUGAACCAGCCAAGUCGCGUGAGGGAUGACGGUACUGCGUAUUGUAAACCUCUUUUGUCAGGGAAUAAAGUGGGGGACGUGUGCCUGGUUGUGGGUACUUGAUGAAAAAGCAUCGGCUAACUCCGUGCCAGCAGCCGCGGUAAUACGGAGGAUGCGAGCGUUAUCCGGAUUUAUUGGGUUUAAAGGGUGCGUAGGUGGGCUGUUAAGUCAGUGGUGAAAGUUCGCGGCUCAACCGCAAAAUUGCAAUUGAUACUGGCAGUCUUGAGUACAGGUGAGGUAGGCGGAAUGCGCGGUGUAGCGGUGAAAUGCUUAGAUAUCACGAAGAACUCCGAUUGCGAAGGCAGCUUACCAACCUGACACUGACACUGAUGCUCGAAAGUGUGGGUAUCAAACAGGAUUAGAUACCCUUGUAGUC